UACAUGGGGUGCAAACGUUGCUCGGAAUUAUUGGGCGUAAAGCGCACGUAGGCGGUUCGUUAAGUCGGAUGUGAAAGCCCUCGGCUCAACUGAGGAAGUGCACCCGAAACUGGCGAGCUUGAGUACGAAAGAGGAUCGCGGAAUUCCCGGUGUAGAGGUGAAAUUCGUAGAUAUCGGAAGGAACACCAGUGGCGAAAGCGGCUUCCUGGUCCGACACCGACGUUCAGGCACGAAAGCGUGGGGAGCAAACAGG
rnacentral:rRNA from 1 species